rnacentral:rRNA from 1 species
GCAUAUCAAUAAGCGGAGGAAAAGAAACUAACAAGGAUUCCCCUAGUAACUGCGAGUGAAGCGGGGAAAAGCUCAAAUUUAAAAUCUGGCAGUCUUUGGCUGUCCGAAGUUGUAAUCUAGAGAAGUGCUAUCCGUGCUGGACCGUGUACAAGUCUCCUGGAAUGGAGCGUCACAGAGGGUGAGAAUCCCGUCUUUGACACGGACUCCCAGUACAUUGUGAUGUGCUCUCAAAGAGUCGAGUUGUUUGGGAAUGCAGCUCUAAAUGGGUGGUAAAUUCCAUCUAAAGCUAAAUAUUGGCGAGAGACCGAUAGCGAACAAGUACCGUGAGGGAAAGAUGAAAAGAACUUUGGAAAGAGAGUUAAACAGUACGUGAAAUUGUUGAAAGGGAAACGCUUGAAGUCAGUCAUGUUGGCCAGGGAUCAACCCUGCUUUUUUGCUGGGUGUACUUCCUGGUUGAUAGGUCAGCAUCAAUUUUGACCACUGGAAAAAAGGCUGAGGGAAUGUGGCAUCUUCGGAUGUGUUAUAGCCCUUGGUUGUAUACAGUGGUUGGGAUUGAGGAACUCAGCAUGCCGCAAGGCCAGGUCUUUGACCAUGUUCAUGCUUAGGAUGCUGGCAUAAUGGCUUUAAUCGACCCGUCUUGAAACACGGACCAAGGAGUCUAACAUGCCUGCGAGUGUUUGGGUGGAAAACCCGAGCGCGUAAUGAAAGUGAAAGUUGAGAUCCCUGUCGUGGGGAGCAUCGACGCCCGGACCAGAACUUUUGGGACGGAUCUGCGGUAGAGCAUGUAUGUUGGGACCCGAAAGAUGGUGAACUAUGCCUGAAUAGGGCGAAGCCAGAGGAAACUCUGGUGGAGGCUCGUAGCGAUUCUGACGUGCAAAUCGAUCGUCGAAAUUUGGGUAUAGGGGCGAAAGACUAAUCGAMCCAUCUAGUAGCUGGUCUGCG